GGGCCCACUGGGAAGCAUCAUGUGGUUUGCUGGCAAGGGACGGUGGCCAGGGAUGGGAGGGCACUGGGAGUCUGGCUAUGUUGCCGUGGUCCCUCCAUCCCAGCCCACAGCAUCCUGCCUCUUUGCUGCCUGGCUGGGGUUCCUGCCUGGAGUUGCUGCCCUCCCUUGCCUGUGGCCACGUCCACACUGAGGGCCUGUGUGUGACCAUGCUCACCUUGCCUCAGGUCUGGGAAGAUCCGAGGUAUCUCCUGGAGAAGCCAUCUAUGAUGUCAUUGGGGAAAUGCCGCUAGCAGGACUGUACGAGGAAAUCACGGAGGCCGAGGCUGUGCUCCAAGAUGAGGAGGACGGAAGUGUGGUGAAGGUGGACACAGAAGCCGCAGUUUCAGGGGAGGUGUCUAACCUCCUGGAGGGACAGUCUAUACGUGCGGAGGGAGGACACAGCAGACCUGUUUCUCAGGGAUAUGACGAGGCUGCGUUUCCUCUGGAGGAGAUGACGUUGUAAAGCACCCUGAGGAUGAGAUACACCAGCUGGCUGUCGAAAUCACAGCUCUUCAUUUUCUUGUAAAAUUGUAGUGGAUUUCGUGAGAACACCUUGGAUGCCUUUCUCUUGCAAUGUCCUCCACGUCCAUAUAAAAUCCAGUCCUUCCAGGCCCUGCCUGGCUCUAACCCUCAUCCCCUUCGAGGGCCAUCUGCUGUGGACAGUCGUGCUGUGUAACCUUCAGAUUUCCCACACAUUACAGCAAAUGCAAAUACACAUAGAAAUCAGUGGUUCCAUUUGUGGUUUAGAGACACAUGGUGCCAUCUUCAUCUUCUGCUCCACAGCUCGCUUCUGGCACCCAGCAGUGGGUUGCAGAGCUCCCCAUGCCAGAACCUUCCUCUUUUUUCUUAAAAACUCUUCUUAAUUGAAUCCAAAGUAUCUUUUAAAUGUUCUACUUGUGUAAUCAUG
rnacentral:sRNA from 1 species